GUGGGUAGGCCCUACUUUCCUCAAGAUGCCCAAUCUUGUUUGAUCUUGGAAGCUAAGCAGGGUCAGGUCUGGUUAUUACUAGAAUGGGGAACUGCCUGGGAAUAUUUGAACCUAUUAGCU
rnacentral:rRNA from 1 species